rnacentral:rRNA from 1 species
AGAGUUUGAUCCUGGCUCAGGACGAACGCUGGCGGCGCGCUUAACACAUGCAAGUCGAGCGAGAACCAGGCUUCGGCCUGGGGAAAGCGGCGAACGGGUGAGUAACACGUGGGUAACCCACCCUUGGUACCGGGAUAGCCCGAGGAAACUCCGGAUUAAUACCGGAUAAGACCAACAGCUCUUCCGGGGGCGGUUGGGAGAAGGUAAGCUUCCGGCCUCUCCAACACAGGGACGGGGGCCCCCGGCGGGAAUAACUUGGUUGGUGGAGGGAACGGCUCCCCCCAGGGGGAACGAUCCCUAACUGGGCUGAGAAGGAACAACAACCCCCCCGGGGACUGAAAAACGGCCCCAACCCCCAACGGAGGGAACAUUGGGGAAUCCUUGCGCCAUGGGGGAGAACCUUAACCACCCGACCCCCCGUGGGGGGAGAAGGGCUUUCGGUUGGUAAACCCCCUUUCUCGAAGGGACGAAACCCCCUCGGGUGGAUAACCCCCAAGGUGGGGGUACCCCCCGAAAAAGCCCCGGCUAAAUACAUGCCACCGGCGCCGGUAAUACCUAGGGGCAGGCGUUGUCCCGGUUUAUUGGGCGUAAAAGCGUGUAGGCGGCAGGAGGUCCCUGUGUAAACUCAAGGUCAACCUCGAGACGCCGAUGAAACAUCUGACUAAAUCCGAGAAGAGAAUGGAUUCUGUGUAACCGCUGAAUGCGCGAUAUCAUGAGAAACCGCUGCUAAGGGGUUCUCUAUUUACGUACCGUACGCGGAACGCUGGAGACGAACAGGAUAGCUUCCUGGUCGUCCACGCUAUAAUGAUGUGUGCUAGUUUAGGGGGUCUCCACUCCUUCUUUUCGAUGUUACGGAUUUAGUCACCCUGUUUGAUAUUACGCCGAAGUCUAACCUCAAUGUAAUGACGGGGCCCGCACAAGCAGAGGAGCUUUUUGUUUAUUGGCGCGACGCGAAGACCCUCCCUUGGGUUUACCGCCGCGGGAGUCUGGUAGAAAUCCGGCACCCUUUCGGGACUCGCCACAGUUUUGCAUAUUUCUCCUAAGUUCUUUUCUCAGAUGAGGGUUAAUUCCCGCAAGGAGCCCACCCCCUCCCCCAGGUGCCAGCGUAAAAGACGGGGACCUCAUGGGAGACUCCCGGUAAAAAUUCGAAAAAAGGUGGUAAUGCCUCCAUUUCACCUCCCCCUUUAUUUCCCAGGGCUUCCCCACGUGGUACCAUGGGCCGGUUCCAAGGGGCGGCAAACCCCCCGGGGGGAAGGGAAUCCCAAAAAGGCCGGGUCCCCGUUUUGGGAUGGAAGGUGGAACCUUGCCCCUCAUGAAGGCGGAGGUUGUUUGUAAUCGCGGAUCAGCAUUGCCGCGGUGAAUACGUUCCCGGGCCUCGUACACACCGCCCGUCACACCACGAAAGUCGGCAAUACCCGAAGCCGGUGGGCUAACCCGCAAGGGAGGCAGCCGUCGAAGGUAGGGUCGAUGAUUGGGGUGAAGUCGUAACAAGGUAACC